GCCAACUAUAUACCCAUCACCUGACAUCUAUUCUUUGCACAUUUAUUUUCAUCAUUGUUUACUAAAAUUUAAUAAAACUAAGUUUUACUUUUGAAAUCCAGGGGUAAGCCAAUCAUUUAAUAAAACACGCAAACUGAUAAGUAAUAAAAUGCACAAAACUGAAAAUAAAAUAAAAAAAAUCUUUAUUGCUUAUUGGAUAUUGCUUUUACAAGUGGAAACAGGUCACUUAAAACGUAUUCUAGAAAUAACACUGUACAUGAACAGAAAUGUGUAUUUGAACCAUUAGUGUGAAAAAUAUAUAGAAAUAACAAAAAACACUAAUACACCUUGUUCACCAAAUUUUAUAUAUAAAAAGCUACAAUACAAAUGAAUUCAAUGAUAAUCCUAACUGAGAAAAAUCAAUCUAUAAAUACAUUGUAAAUAAGGCUAUUUUAUGUAACAUUUUUAGUGGGAACUCAAAAUAAUAUUUUACAUAUAUAAUUUUUCAUUGAUACAUAGUCUGUUAAAAUGUCUACUUUUUGUCCCAUUCAAGAAAAGAGUUAUUCUUGUGACUCUUUGCCUGCCAAUCGAUAAACCUCUGUCGGUCCAUCUACGUUGGUGAUUGUGGUCGUUAAUUGAAGUUCUUCUGCGCUUCCCAUUCCUAAAAAAAAAAAA